rnacentral:rRNA from 1 species
GAUGAACGCUGGCGGCGUGCCUAAUACAUGCAAGUCGAGCGAACGGACGAGAAGCUUGCUUCUCUGAUGUUAGCGGCGGACGGGUGAGUAACACGUGGAUAACCUACCUAUAAGACUGGGAUAACUUCGGGAAACCGGAGCUAAUACCGGAUAAUAUUUUGAACCGCAUGGUUCAAAAGUGAAAGACGGUCUUGCUGUCACUUAUAGAUGGAUCCGCGCUGCAUUAGCUAGUUGGUAAGGUAACGGCUUACCAAGGCAACGAUGCAUAGCCGACCUGAGAGGGUGAUCGGCCACACUGGAACUGAGACACGGUCCAGACUCCUACGGGAGGCAGCAGUAGGGAAUCUUCCGCAAUGGGCGAAAGCCUGACGGAGCAACGCCGCGUGAGUGAUGAAGGUCUUCGGAUCGUAAAACUCUGUUAUUAGGGAAGAACAUAUGUGUAAGUAACUGUGCACAUCUUGACGGUACCUAAUCAGAAAGCCACGGCUAACUACGUGCCAGCAGCCGCGGUAAUACGUAGGUGGCAAGCGUUAUCCGGAAUUAUUGGGCGUAAAGCGCGCGUAGGCGGUUUUUUAAGUCUGAUGUGAAAGCCCACGGCUCAACCGUGGAGGGUCAUUGGAAACUGGAAAACUUGAGUGCAGAAGAGGAAAGUGGAAUUCCAUGUGUAGCGGUGAAAUGCGCAGAGAUAUGGAGGAACACCAGUGGCGAAGGCGACUUUCUGGUCUGUAACUGACGCUGAUGUGCGAAAGCGUGGGGAUCAAACAGGAUUAGAUACCCUGGCAGUCCACGCCGUAAACGAUGAGUGCUAAGUGUUAGGGGGUUUCCGCCCCUUAGUGCUGCAGCUAACGCAUUAAGCACUCCGCCUGGGGAGUACGACCGCAAGGUUGAAACUCAAAGGAAUUGACGGGGACCCGCACAAGCGGUGGAGCAUGUGGUUUAAUUCGAAGCAACGCGAAGAACCUUACCAAAUCUUGACAUCCUUUGACAACUCUAGAGAUAGAGCUUUCCCCUUCGGGGGACAAAGUGACAGGUGGUGCAUGGUUGUCGUCAGCUCGUGUCGUGAGAUGUUGGGUUAAGUCCCGCAACGAGCGCAACCCUUAAGCUUAGUUGCCAUCAUUAAGUUGGGCACUCUAAGUUGACUGCCGGUGACAAACCGGAGGAAGGUGGGGAUGACGUCAAAUCAUCAUGCCCCUUAUGAUUUGGGCUACACACGUGCUACAAUGGACAAUACAAAGGGCAGCGAAACCGCGAGGUCAAGCAAAUCCCAUAAAGUUGUUCUCAGUUCGGAUUGUAGUCUGCAACUCGACUACAUGAAGCUGGAAUCGCUAGUAAUCGUAGAUCAGCAUGCUACGGUGAAUACGUUCCCGGGUCU